UACGUAGGCAGCGAGCGUUGUUCGGAGUUACUGGGCGUAAAGGGUGUGUAGGCGGUUGUUUAAGUUUGGUGUGAAAUCUCCCGGCUCAACUGGGAGGGUGCGCCGAAUACUGAAUGACUUCGAGUGCGGGAGAGGAGAGUGGAAUUCCUGGUGUAGCGGUGAAAUGCGUAGAUAUCAGGAGGAACACCGGUGGCGAAGGCGGAUCUCUGGGCCUGUCCUGACGCUGAGGCGCGAAAGCUAGGGGAGCGAACAGG
rnacentral:rRNA from 1 species